UACGGAGGGGGCUAGCGUUGUUCGGAAUUACUGGGCGUAAAGCGCGCGUAGGCGGACCUGCAAGUCGGGGGUGAAAGCCCGAGGCUCAACCUCGGAACUGCCUUCGAUACUGCGGGUCUCGAGUCCGGGAGAGGUGAGUGGAAUUCCUAGUGUAGAGGUGAAAUUCGUAGAUAUCAGGAGGAACACCGGUGGCGAAGGCGGCUCUCUGGGACGGUACUGACGCUGAGACGCGAAAGCGUGGGGAGCGAACAGG
rnacentral:rRNA from 1 species